rnacentral:rRNA from 1 species
GCAUAUCAAUAAGCGGAGGAAAAGAAACUAACAAGGAUUCCCCUAGUAACUGCGAGUGAAGCGGGAAAAGCUCAAAUUUAAAAUCUGGUGGUCUUUGGCCAUCCGAGUUGUAAUCUAGAGAAGUGUUACCCGCGUCGGACCGUGUACAAGUCUCCUGGAAUGGAGCGUCAUAGAGGGUGAGAAUCCCGUCUUUGACACGGACUACCGAGGCUGUGUGGUGCGCUCUCAAAGAGUCGAGUUGUUUGGGAAUGCAGCUCAAAAUGGGUGGUAAAUUCCAUCUAAAGCUAAAUAUUGGCGAGAGACCGAUAGCGAACAAGUACCGUGAGGGAAAGAUGAAAAGAACUUUGGAAAGAGAGUUAAACAGUACGUGAAAUUGCUGAAAGGGAAACGCUUGAAGUCAGUCGCGUUGGCCGGAAAUCAGCCUUGCUUUUGCUUGGUGUACUUUCUGGUUGACGGGCCAGCAUCAGUUUUGACCGGUGGAAAAAGUCUAGAGGAAGGUGGCAUCUUCGGAUGUGUUAUAGCCUCUGGUCGUAUACAUCGGUUGGGACUGAGGAACUCAGCACGCCGAAAGGCCGGGUCUUUGACCACGUUCGUGCUUAGGAUGCUGGCAUAAUGGCUUUAAUCGACCCGUCUUGAAACACGGACCAAGGAGUCUAACAUGCCUGCGAGUGUUUGGGUGGAAAACCCGAGCGCGUAAUGAAAGUGAAAGUUGAGAUCCCUGUCAUGGGGAGCAUCGACGCCCGGACCAGAAGUUUUCUGACGGCCCUGCGGUAGAGCAUGUAUGUUGGGACCCGAAAGAUGGUGAACUAUGCCUGAAUAGGGUGAAGCCAGAGGAAACUCUGGUGGAGGCUCGUAGCGAUUCUGACGUGCAAAUCGAUCGUCAAAUUUGGGUAUAGGGGCGAAAGACUAAUCGA